CACUGAUCACUACCGCGCUGCUGGGGACAGUGGGGAGGGCGUCACGCUCUGUGCAGGGUGCGCCGGGCCAACCCCAGUCCACGUGCACCCAAAGGUCCCCUCCACUAGUGCCCCAGGGGUCACAGCUUCCUGGCAGUGGGCAGCCCUGGAGUGCAUGCUGCCCUGGGUGACAGUGGCCCUCGGGUGGGCUGGAGCUGCACACAGGCAGGCCUGGCUGCUCCCGGCGCUGCGGUGGGGUGGGACGCCAGCCCCGUGGUGGAGAGGUCUGGCUCCCGGCCUGCUCACGGAAUCUGCACGUCCACAUCCAGAGAAGCCCUUUAAGAUCCUUUUACACUUAACUUCUGAGGUCCUUGUCAGGCCAGGGCCGCCCAUGCCUUAGGACAGAAGUUCUCCCUGUGAUCUGAGACUGCAGGCGGGAGGGCAAGUGUCACCGCAGCCCCCUCCCGCUGCGAGCCAAGCUGGAGGCCCCAGAGCGGCUGCCAUUAAUCAAUACUGAGAGGAAGCCUGGCUUUCCUUCCCUGCCUGCACCAGCUCACACCUCGUGGGCAUCAAAGGACGAGCCAGAGGGCUGGAAGGAGGGACCGAUGGGUGAGCAGCCUGCCUGGGACUGGGCAAGGGAAGGAGGUGAGAAUCCUCAGGGCUGGAGGCCAGUAAGGGGAGAUGGGAUGGAAGAUGAAAGGGGCAGAGCCCAGGGACUGUGCUCCCCACCGAGUGUGAGACGAUGACGGGACAGGCAGGCGGGUGGGGUGGCGGCUUCCUCCCCUGCUGUUCCUGCUGCGGCUCCUGGCUGUCCCUGGGGUCAUCGGACAGCUUUCACAGCAUGGUGCCCACUGACCAGAGACUGGGUGGCCCUUGUCUGGGUGUCGGUCCCCCAAACUCAGCGUGGUGUUUUGCAACCACCGUGACAUGGGCUCCUGAGCCUGAGCCUCUCCCUCAACUCCAGGCUCAUUUGGAGACGGCAGGUCUGUCCCGUGACUUCCAUGUCUGUGCUCUGAAGAUGCCGCACCAGGUGCGGCUCUCCAGGACCCAGAGGCCACCGCAGGUGUGCAGGGAAGCCCGGCUCCCUUGCCCCAGGCCCCGGCCUGCGCACUCUGGGGGGGCUCUCAUCGGAGCAGAAACAGGCCAGCACGGGGCGGGGUGGGGGGACUGCCCAGCUGCCACGGCUGCUCUGGCCCUUGCUGGUCGGGCCUGGAGGAAGGCAAAGGGCCCUUGUUAACCUGUGCCUCCAAAAGCCACAGCAGGGCCUGGCUGUCCAGUCGGGCAGCAUGACCAGGAGCAGCCAGGACACCACGGCCAGCACGCGCCAGCUGCCCUGCUGGCCCUCGGCAGGAGGCUGUCUUGGUAGUGCAGCAAGACAGGACAAAGGCUGAAAUCUGGGGAGAGUCCAGUCUUGGAAGGUGAAGCCACACCUGGGCAGCCAGCGGCCACCUGCUUCCCGUCAGCUGUGAACCUCCCUUGGGAGGGUGGCAGCUCUCAGGCCAACCGUCUCCCCAUGUCCACAACCCUCUGGGCAGGUAGGACUCUGCCCACUCACAGAUGGCUCUGAUGACCUGCUCCCGAGCAUGCAGCUGGGAGGGCCGGAAGGGACGUCAUUUAGCCGAGGUUAGCCCAUCAGCCUGGCUCGCUGGUCAUCAGCCGUCAGCCUGGCCAUCUCUCCAGGCACUUGACAGAUGGGCAGUUGCUAUGCCUAUUAUUAUUUUGACUCUUGUCAGAGGCAUUUUUAAAGAAACUUUGAGAUCAUUAAAGAUUCACCUGGGAGGGGAGGAGGCACAGGGGGCCCUGAGUCCCCUCCACCUACUGUCCUCAGGACAGCACCUUCCACAGCUGCUCCAUGUCACAACCAGGGCAGGGACGCUGACCUCCACCCAUGCAGCGUCCCCUCAGCCCUGUGCUCUGCGCCCUCUGGAGCCUGCUGGUCCUCGUCACUGUAGAAACACCACCUGACGUCUUCCUAUUUGAUAUUCGCAGUGUUCCAAGCGCCCUCCUGCAGGUGGCCGAUGUGCCACUGGGUCCACUGUUGGUCCCUGCGUCUGAUGCAGGAAGCGCAGAUCUCUGUCACUGGAGGAGUGGAUGACACUUUCUCACAGCACCAUGUGACCUUCCUGAGCUCCAUCUAGAAACCUCAAAAUGGCCCUCAUGCUGCCACGUGCCCAUGGUGCCAAGCGUGAGGAAUUGGAGGAGCCGCACAGCACCUGCAGUCCAGGGGGACGUGCUGGGCUACACUGCCCUGCCCUCCUGAUGCCCGGACAGUCCGCCUCGCACCUCCACCCUGCCCCAGCUCUCUGAAGGCUCUGUUUCUCUGGCCCCUUAAUGGCCUGCCAUCUUUCAACAGUUAAGAGCAUCGCUAGUAAGAGGUUUGAGGACAAUUUGCAUCACUUGACGGAGGCUGGAUUUCUGGGAGGUGGAUAGGUUUGAGUACUGAGGGUGAAGUCCUGGCUAAUUCUGAUGACUUGAAAUAAUAAACAGCUUCACACCCUCCAUUGUCCUGGGGCCCAGUGGAAACUGAGCGGCAGCAGCCCCGGAGCCCACUAGGACUCGAGCUCUGAGUGAGCCCACCUGCCCGGCCUCCUGCACCGGGACAGGGUGGGACAGGGUGGUCAAGCCCCUUGUGAUAAGCAAGUUCCCCUUCACUGUUCUUUUCCUCUUUCUGAAUCAGUAAGAGACAGUGCCCUUUCCUGCCCUCUGACUCAGCCCCUCUGCCGCAAGCUCAGGGCUCGGGGCUGGAAUCCACCAGGCUACAGCUUCGUUGCAAUCCGAGGACUCGUUCCUGUUCUGUGAAUGUCCUGCAGGGUGACGUGGGAGGGCAGUCCUCUUCCACUUGCAAGAGCCACAGAGAGUUUCCUUUCUCAGUAUUUAAAAAUUAAAGUAGGUUGAUUCUAAAAAUAAUCAGCAGAUAAGCAUGGGGUGGCAAAAGUUCCCCCAAACCUGAUGCUUUUGACCUACCUGGGAGGUGAGGUGUUGGGAACACUGACCUAGGCGACGGGGUGGACAGAGAUGGCCGCUGCCAGUCAGCACUGGAGCUGCAGGGAGCUGGCCCCUCAGGGCCACCGUCCAGCCCCCAGGUGAACAUCUCAUCUCCGCUUUCCAGAUGAUGCCCCAAGAAGUUCUAAAAACAAACGUGUUUAUUUCAAUUGUGCAAUAGGCCUCCCGUUAACUAUGAAACAAAACAUUCAUUAUAGAAAGAUUAUGUCCACGUGGACAACUUUAAGAAGUUAUUUAUUAACCAACUAUAAAGCCACCAUCCUGGGGUUGACUGCCUCGUGUAUUUUGCUGUAUAUUCUCUCUCUCUCUCUCUCUCUGUCUUGAACACAGUUUGAAUUAUAUAUAAUGUAGGA
rnacentral:lncRNA from 1 species